rnacentral:lncRNA from 1 species
GUGAACACAGAAGGGGGUGCCGGGCCCACGGCUGAGACACCUGAGAGGACGCCUGCAGCCCGGGUGACCACAGCAGGGGCUUGGGGAAUUUCAAACAUGAGCUGGCUGAUCGUGAUCUGAAACCUCCAAAAGGGAAAAUGAAAGGCCAGGUGUGCACAGUCACGUUUAUGCCCCUGGCUGCAAUCGCGUCCCCAAGCUGGGCUCUGCAGACACCAGGCAUGAGGGCCACAUCCUCCCCAUCCUGAAACCAACCCAAGGGGCUGUUCCGCUGUUUCUCUCCACUAUGAGGCAAGACUCUGCAAGCAUUCCUAACCACUUGAUCUCAAGAUACG